rnacentral:rRNA from 1 species
AUUGAACGCUGGCGGCAUGCCUUACACAUGCAAGUCGAACGGUAACGGGCCUUCGGGUGCCGACGAGUGGCGCACGGGUGAGUAAUACAUCGGAACGUGCCCGAUCGUGGGGGAUAACGAGGCGAAAGCUUUGCUAAUACCGCAUACGAUCUACGGAUGAAAGCAGGGGACCACAAGGCCUUGCGCGGACGGAGCGGCCGAUGGCAGAUUAGGUAGUUGGUGGGAUAAAAGCUUACCAAGCCGACGAUCUGUAGCUGGUCUGAGAGGAUGAUCAGCCACACUGGGACUGAGACACGGCCCAGACUCCUACGGGAGGCAGCAGUGGGGAAUUUUGGACAAUGGGCGCAAGCCUGAUCCAGCCAUGCCGCGUGCAGGAUGAAGGCCUUCGGGUUGUAAACUGCUUUUGUACGGAACGAAAAGCCUUCUUUUAAUACAGGAGGGUCAUGACGGUACCGUAAGAAUAAGCACCGGCUAACUACGUG